rnacentral:misc_RNA from 1 species
UUUCCGUAGGUGAACCUGCGGAAGGAUCAUUACAUUCAGUAGCCUAGCUACUUGUUUACACCCUUGUUUUUGCGUACCGUAUGUUUCCUCGGCGGGCUUGCCUGCCGGUUGGACAUUAUCAAACCUUUUUGUAGUUGCAAUCAGCGUCAGAAAACAAACAAUAAUUACAACUUUCAACAACGGAUCUCUUGGUUCUGGCAUCGAUGAAGAACGCAGC